GACGAACGCUGGCGGCGUGCUUAACACAUGCAAGUCGAACGGAAAGGCCCUGCUUUUGUGGGGUGCUCGAGUGGCGAACGGGUGAGUAACACGUGAGUAACCUGCCCUUGACUUUGUGAUAACUUCAGGAAACUGGGGCUAAUAUCGGAUAGGAGCUCCUGCUGCAUGGUGGGGGUUGGAAAGUUUCGGCGGUUGGGGAUGGACUCGCGGCUUAUCAGCUUGUUGGUGGGGUAGUGGCUUACCAAGGCUUCGACGGGUAGCCGGCCUGAGAGGGUGACCGGCCACAUGGGGACUGAGAUACGGCGCAGUAUCCUACGGGAGGCAGCAGGGGGGAGUAUUGCACAGUGGGCGGAAGCCUGAUGCAGCAACGCCGCGUGCGGGAUGACGGCCUUCGGGUUGUAAACCGCUUUCGCCUGUGACGAAGCGUGAGUGACGGUAAUGGGUAAAGAAGCACCGGCUAACUACGUG
rnacentral:rRNA from 1 species